AUUGAACGCUGGCGGCAGGCUUAACACAUGCAAGUCGAGCGGAGAUGAGGUGCUUGCACCUUAUCUUAGCGGCGGACGGGUGAGUAAUGCUUAGGAAUCUGCCAUUUAGUGGGGGACAACAUUCCGAAAGGAAUGCUAAUACCGCAUACGUCCUACGGGAGAAAGCAGGGGAUCUUCGGACCUUGCGCUAAAUGAUGAGCCUAAGUCGGAUUAGCUAGUUGGUGGGGUAAAGGCCUACCAAGGCGACGAUCUGUAGCGGGUCUGAGAGGGUGAUCCGCCACACUGGGACUGAGACACGGCCCAGACUCCUACGGGAGGCAGCAGUGGGGAAUAUUGGACAAUGGGCGGAAGCCUGAUCCAGCCAUGCCGCGUGUGUGAAGAAGGCCUUUUGGUUGUAAAGCACUUUAAGCGAGGAGGAGGCUACCUGGAUUAAUACUCUAGGAUAGUGGACGUUACUCGCAGAAUAAGCACCGGCUAACUCUGUGCCAGCCGCCGCAGUAAGAC
rnacentral:rRNA from 1 species